rnacentral:rRNA from 1 species
GACGAACGCUGGCGGCGUGCUUAACACAUGCAAGUCGAACGGAAAGGCCCUGCUUUUGUGGGGUGCUCGAGUGGCGAACGGGUGAGUAACACGUGUGUAACCUGCCCUUGACUUUGGGAUAACUUCAGGAAACUGGGGCUAAUACCGGAUAGGAGCUCCUGCUGCAUGGUGGGGGUUGGAAAGUUUCGGCGGUUGGGGAUGGACUCUCGGCUUAUCAGCUUGUUGGUGGGGUAGUGGCUUACCAAGGCUUUGACGGGUAGCCGGCCUGAGAGGGUGACCGGCCACAUUGGGACUGAGAUACGGCCCAGACUCCUACGGGAGGCAGCGGUGGGGAAUACGGCACAAGGGGCGGAAGCCUGAUGCAGCAACGCCGCGUGCGGGAUGACGGCCUUCGGGUUGUAAACCGCUUUCGCCUGUGACGAAGCGUGGGUGACGGUAAUGGGUAAAGAAGCACCGGCUAACUACGUG